rnacentral:rRNA from 1 species
GGGUUGUGAGGUUAAGCGAACAAGCGUACACGGUGGAUGCCCUGGCAGUCAGAGGCGAUGAAGGACGUGCUAAUCUGCGAAAAGCGCCGGUAAGGUGAUAUGAACCGUUAUAACCGGCGAUGUCCGAAUGGGGAAACCCGGUGCACUUCGGUGCAUCAUCGUUAGCUGAAUACAUAGGCUAACGAGGCGAACCGGGGGAACUGAAACAUCUAAGUACCCCGAGGAAAAGAAAUCAACCGAGAUUCCCCCAGUAGCGGCGAGCGAACGGGGAACAGCCCAGAGCCUGAAUCAGCUUGUGUGUCAGUGGAACGGUCUGGAAAGGCCGGCGAUACAGGGUGACAGCCCCGUACACGAAGGCACACAGGCUGUGAGCUCGAUGAGUAGGGCGGGACACGUGAUAUCCUGUCUGAAGAUGGGGGGACCAUCCUCCAAGGCUAAAUACUCCUGACUGACCGAUAGUGAACCAGUACCGUGAGGGAAAGGCGAAAAGAACCCCGGCGAGGGGAGUGAAACAGAACCUGAAACCGUGUACGUACAAGCAGUGGGAGCCUUCGUAAGAGGGUGACUGCGUACCUUUUGUAUAAUGGGUCAGCGACUUAUAUUCUGUAGCAAGGUUAACCGUAUAGGGGAGCCGAAGGGAAACCGAGUCUUAACCGGGCGUUAAGUUGCAGGGUAUAGACCCGAAACCCGGUGAUCUAGCCAUGGGCAGGUUGAAGGUUGGGUAACACUAACUGGAGGACCGAACCGACUAAUGUUGAAAAAUUAGCGGAUGACCUGUGGCUGGGGGUGAAAGGCCAAUCAAACCGGGAGAUAGCUGGUUCUCCCCGAAAGCUAUUUAGGUAGCGCCUCGUGAACUCAUCUCCGGGGGUAGAGCACUGUUUCGGCUAGGGGGCCAUCCCGGCUUACCAACCCGAUGCAAACUGCGAAUACCGGAGAAUGUUAUCACGGGAGACACACGGCGGGUGCUAACGUCCGUCGUGAAGAGGGAAACAACCCAGACCGCCAGCUAAGGUCCCAAAGUCAUGGUUAAGUGGGAAACGAUGUGGGAAGGCCCAGACAGCCAGGAUGUUGGCUUAGAAGCAGCCAUCAUUUAAAGAAAGCGUAAUAGCUCACUGGUCGAGUCGGCCUGCGCGGAAGAUGUAACGGGGCUAAACCAUGCACCGAAGCUGCGGCAGCGACACUGUGUGUUGUUGGGUAGGGGAGCGUUCUGUAAGCCUGUGAAGGUGUGCUGUGAGGCAUGCUGGAGGUAUCAGAAGUGCGAAUGCUGACAUAAGUAACGAUAAAGCGGGUGAAAAGCCCGCUCGCCGGAAGACCAAGGGUUCCUGUCCAACGUUAAUCGGGGCAGGGUGAGUCGACCCCUAAGGCGAGGCCGAAAGGCGUAGUCGAUGGGAAACAGGUUAAUAUUCCUGUACUUGGUGUUACUGCGAAGGGGGGACGGAGAAGGCUAUGUCGGCCGGGCGACGGUUGUCCCGGUUUAAGCGUGUAGGCUGACUUUCCAGGCAAAUCCGGAAGGUUAAGGCUGAGGCGUGAUGACGAGGCACCACGGUGCUGAAGUGACAAAUGCCCUGCUUCCAGGAAAAGCCUCUAAGCAUCAGGUAACAUCAAAUCGUACCCCAAACCGACACAGGUGGUCAGGUAGAGAAUACCAAGGCGCUUGAGAGAACUCGGGUGAAGGAACUAGGCAAAAUGGUGCCGUAACUUCGGGAGAAGGCACGCUGACAUGUAGGUGAAGCCCCUGCGGGUGGAGCUGAAGUCAGUCGAAGAUACCAGCUGGCUGCAACUGUUUAUUAAAAACACAGCACUGUGCAAACACGAAAGUGGACGUAUACGGUGUGACGCCUGCCCGGUGCCGGAAGGUUAAUUGAUGGGGUUAUCGCAAGAGAAGCUCCUGAUCGAAGCCCCGGUAAACGGCGGCCGUAACUAUAACGGUCCUAAGGUAGCGAAAUUCCUUGUCGGGUAAGUUCCGACCUGCACGAAUGGCGUAAUGAUGGCCAGGCUGUCUCCACCCGAGACUCAGUGAAAUUGAACUCGCUGUGAAGAUGCAGUGUACCCGCGGCAAGACGGAAAGACCCCGUGAACCUUUACUACAGCUUGACACUGAACAUUGAGCCUUGAUGUGUAGGAUAGGUGGGAGGCUUUGAAGCGUGGACGCCAGUCUGCGUGGAGCCGACCUUGAAAUACCACCCUUUAAUGUUUGAUGUUCUAACCUGGCGCCGUGAUCCGGCGUGGGGACAGUGUCUGGUGGGUAGUUUGACUGGGGCGGUCUCCUCCCAAAGUGUAACGGAGGAGCACGAAGGUCAGCUAAUCCUGGUCGGACAUCAGGAGGUUAGUGCAAUGGCAUAAGCUGGCUUGACUGCGAGAGUGACGGCUCGAGCAGGUGCGAAAGCAGGUCAUAGUGAUCCGGUGGUUCUGUAUGGAAGGGCCAUCGCUCAACGGAUAAAAGGUACUCCGGGGAUAACAGGCUGAUACCGCCCAAGAGUUCAUAUCGACGGCGGUGUUUGGCACCUCGAUGUCGGCUCAUCACAUCCUGGGGCUGAAGUAGGUCCCAAGGGUAUGGCUGUUCGCCAUUUAAAGUGGUACGCGAGCUGGGUUUAGAACGUCGUGAGACAGUUCGGUCCCUAUCUGCCGUGGGCGCUGGAGAAUUGAGGGGGGCUGCUCCCAGUACGAGAGGACCGGAGUGGACGCAUCACUGGUGUUCGGGUUGUCAUGCCAAUGGCACUGCCCGGUAGCUAAAUGCGGAAGAGAUAAGUGCUGAAAGCAUCUAAGCACGAAACUUGCCCCGAGAUGAGUUCUCCCUGAGACUAUAAGUCUCCUGAAGGAACGUUGAAGACGACGACGUUGAUAGGCCGGGUGUGUAAGCGCAGCGAUGCGUUGAGCUAACCGGUACUAAUGAACCGUGAGGCUUAACCUUACAACGCCAAAGAAGU